UACGGGGGGGAGCAAGCGUUGUUCGGAUUUACUGGGCGUAAAGGGCGUGUAGGCGGCCACCGCAAGUCGGUUGUGAAAUCUCCGGGCUUAACUCGGAAAGGUCAACUGAUACUGUGCGACUAGAGUGCAGAAGGGGCAACUGGAAUUCUCGGUGUAGCGGUGAAAUGCGUAGAUAUCAAGAGGAACACCAGUGGCGAAGGCGAGUCCCUGGACGAUACCUGACACUGAGGCACGAAAGCCAAGGGAGCAAACAGG
rnacentral:rRNA from 1 species